AACGAACGUUAGCGACGCGCCUAACACAUGCAAGUCGAGCGAGAAAGGGAGCAAUCCCCGGUACAGCGGCGCACGGGUGAGUAACACGUAGGUAAUCUGCCUCCGAGUGGGGGAUAACCUUCCGAAAGGAGGGCUAACACCGCAUAAGACCACGACUCCGAGAGGGGAUGAGGUCAAAGCCGGCCACUAUACAUAAGCUGGCGCUUGGAGAUGAGCCUGCGGCCCAUCAGCUAGUUGGCAGGGUAACGGCCUACCAAGGCGAAGACGGGUAGCUGGUCUGAGAGGAUGAUCAGCCACACUGGAACUGAGACACGGUCCAGACUCCUACGGGAGGCAGCAGUGGGGAAUCUUGCGCAAUGGGCGAAAGCCUGACGCAGCGACGCCGCGUGAGUGAUGAAGGCCUUCGGGUUGUAAAGCUCUGUGGAGGGGGAAAGAAUAAGGCAUGGCUAACAUCCAUGUCGAUGACGGUACCCCUUUAGCAAGCACCGGCUAACUCUGUGCCAGCAGCCGCGGUAAGACAGAGGGUGCAAACGUUGUUCGGAAUUACUGGGCGUAAAGCGCGUGUAGGCGGCUUGGCAAGUCGGGUGUGAAAGCCCUGGGCUCAACCUAGGAAGUGCAACUCGCAAUGCCUCGCUGGAGUGCCGGAG
rnacentral:rRNA from 1 species